AUAUUUACCUGGCGUAGAGGGAUACCGUGCUCAUGCAGGCGGUUCCCCAGGACGAGGCUGCUCCAUUGCACUGCGGAGUGGUUGACUCUUGCGAUUAUUUUUAAUAAUAAAAAAAUCAUAAUUAUAAAUGUAUACCCGAAAAAUUAUUUUCUUUAUAA